rnacentral:rRNA from 1 species
UACGGGAGUGGCAAGCGUUAUCCGGAAUUAUUGGGCGUAAAGCGUCCGCAGGCGGCCUUGUAAGUCUGUCGUUAAAGCGUGGAGCUCAACUCCAUUUCAGCGAUGGAAACUACAAGGUUUGAGUGUGGUAGGGGCAGAGGGAAUUCCCGGUGUAGCGGUGAAAUGCGUAGAUAUCGGGAAGAACACCAGUGGCGAAGGCGCUCUGCUGGGCCAUAACUGACGCUCAUGGACGAAAGCCAGGGGAGCGAAAGGG